GACGAACGCUGGCGGCGUGCUUAACACAUGCAAGUCGAACGGAAAGGCCCUGCUUUUGUGGGGUACUCGAGUGGCGAACGGGUGUGUAACACGUGAGUAACCUGCUCUUGACUUUGGGAUAACUUCAGGUAACUGGGGCUAAUACCGGAUAGGAGCUCCUGCUGCACGGUGGGGGUUGGAAAGUUUCGGCGGUGGGGGAUGGACUCGCGGCUUAUCAGCUUGUUGGUGGGGUAGUGGCUUACCAAGGCUUUGACGGGUAGCCGGCCUGAGUGGUGGACCGGACACAUUGGGACUGAGAUACGGCCCAGACUCCUACGGGAGGCAGUAGUGGUGAAUAUGUCACAAUGAGCGGAAGCGUGAUGCAGCAACGCCGCGUGCGGGAUGACGGCCUGCUGGUUGUAAUCCGCUUUCGCCUGUGACGAAGCGAGAGUGACGGUAAUGGGUAAAGAAGCACCGGCUAACUACGUG
rnacentral:rRNA from 1 species